rnacentral:rRNA from 1 species
AUGGCGCCGGAGUGGGAGGCGGCCUUGGGCAUGGAGCUCGGCAUGGGCUCGCACUACCACCACGCGCCGCCAUCCGCCGCCGCCUCGCCCAUGAACCACCACCACCACCACCACCACCACCACUCCGCAUACUCCCACUCCCAGCCCCCCCACCAGUACAAUUUUUACGGGGGCGCCGCGGGCGGGGACGGCGCCGCCGACCCCAUGCGCGUCGACGAGAUGCUCGACCUCUCCUCCCACCUCGGCGCGCACGACUUCUUCUCCGGCGCGAACAAUGGCGCCGCCGACAACGCGCCGGCCCCGCCCGCGGCUGCCGCGGCCUCCUCGUCCGACCACCAGCACCACCACCCCUCGUCCUUCAACCUCUCCUUCGCCGACGAGUUUUACCUGCCUGUCCCGACUGAGGAAGCCGCGGAGCUGGAGUGGCUGUCCAACUUCGUGGACGACUCCUACCCGGACAUCCCCAACUACCCGCCGGCCGUGCAGGCGGCGAUGGCGGCCGCCGCGAGGAACGGCGGCGUUGUGGUGAAGCAGGAGAAUUCCGCGUCGGCGGCCGCGCCAGGCCGCGGCGCGCGGAGCAAGCGCUCGCGGGCGGUCUCCGCGGCCGCGGCCGCGUGGCACGCCCUGGCUCCGCGCCAGCCCUCCCCGUCCUCCUCCUCGUCGUCCUCCGACUCCAAGCCGGCGCGGUCAGGCGGCGGCGGCGGCGGCGGAGGCGUCAAGAAGAGCGGCCUCGUGGUCGGGGCGGCCGAGCUAGGGGGCGGCGGGGACCAGAGCGGCGAGGUGCGCCGGUGCACGCACUGCGCGUCGGAGAAGACGCCGCAGUGGCGGACGGGGCCGCUGGGCCCCAAGACGCUGUGCAACGCGUGCGGGGUGCGGUACAAGUCGGGGCGGCUGGUGCCGGAGUACCGCCCGGCGGCGAGCCCCACGUUCGUGCUGACGCAGCACUCCAACUCCCACCGCAAGGUGAUGGAGCUGCGCCGGCAGAACGAGCUGGUGCACCUCCACGGCGGCGUGGGCGGGGCCGGCGUCGUGUCGGCGUCCUCCGGCUCCGGCGGCGCGGCGGAGCACAUGUUCCGCGACUACGGCGUGUGCUGA